rnacentral:pre_miRNA from 1 species
UCUCAUCUGGACCCUGCUGGGAGGGGCCACUGAGCUCUUCAGGGCUGACAGGAGGGGUCCGGGGGCCCUCCCCCAGUGAGAGGCCAGGCCAGGACUCCUG